AGGGGAGUGAAAAAGAACCUGAAACCGUGUACGUACAAGCAGUGGGAGCACGCUUAGGCGUGUGACUGCGUACCUUUUGUAUAAUGGGUCAGCGACUUAUAUUCUGUAGCAAGGUUAACCGAAUAGGGGAGCCGAAGGGAAACCGAGUCUUAACUGGGCGUUAAGUUGCAGGGUAUAGACCCGAAACCCGGUGAUCUAGCCAUGGGCAGGUUGAAGGUUGGGUAACACUAACUGGAGGACCGAACCGACUAAUGUUGAAAAAUUAGCGGAUGACUUGUGGCUGGGGGUGAAAGGCCAAUCAAACCGGGAGAUAGCUGGUUCUCCCCGAAAGCUAUUUAGGUAGCGCCUCGUGAAUUCAUCUCCGGGGGUAGAGCACUGUUUCGGCAAGGGGGUCAUCCCGACUUACCAACCCGAUGCAAACUGCGAAUACCGGAGAAUGUUAUCACGGGAGACACACGGCGGGUGCUAACGUCCGUCGUGAAGAGGGAAACAACCCAGACCGCCAGCUAAGGUCCCAAAGUCAUGGUUAAGUGGGAAACGAUGUGGGAAGGCCCAGACAGCCAGGAUGUUGGCUUAGAAGCAGCCAUCAUUUAAAGAAAGCGUAAUAGCUCACUGGUCGAGUCGGCCUGCGCGGAAGAUGUAACGGGGCUAAACCAUGCACCGAAGCUGCGGCAGCGACGCUGAUGCGUUGUUGGGUAGGGGAGCGUUCUGUAAGCCUGCGAAGGUGUGCUGUGAGGCAUGCUGGAGGUAUCAGAAGUGCGAAUGCUGACAUAAGUAACGAUAAAGCGGGUGAAAAGCCCGCUCGCCGGAAGACCAAGGGUUCCUGUCCAACGUUAAUCGGGGCAGGGUGAGUCGACCCCUAAGGCGAGGCCGAAAGGCGUAGUCGAUGGGAAACAGGUUAAUAUUCCUGUACUUGGUGUUACUGCGAAGGGGGGACGGAGAAGGCUAUGUUGGCCGGGCGACGGUUGUCCCGGUUUAAGCGUGUAGGCUGGUUUUCCAGGCAAAUCCGGAAAAUCAAGGCUGAGGCGUGAUGACGAGGCACUGCGGUGCUGAAGCAACAAAUGCCCUGCUUCCAGGAAAAGCCUCUAAGCAUCAGGUAACAUCAAAUCGUACCCCAAACCGACACAGGUGGUCAGGUAGAGAAUACCAAGGCGCUUGAGAGAACUCGGGUGAAGGAACUAGGCAAAAUGGUGCCGUAACUUCGGGAGAAGGCACGCUGAUAUGUAGGUGAAGUCCCUCGCGGAUGGAGCUGAAAUCAGUCGAAGAUACCAGCUGGCUGCAACUGUUUAUUAAAAACACAGCACUGUGCAAACACGAAAGUGGACGUAUACGGUGUGACGCCUGCCCGGUGCCGGAAGGUUAAUUGAUGGGGUUAGCGCAAGCGAAGCUCUUGAUCGAAGCCCCGGUAAACGGCGGCCGUAACUAUAACGGUCCUAAGGUAGCGAAAUUCCUUGUCGGGUAAGUUCCGACCUGCACGAAUGGCGUAAUGAUGGCCAGGCUGUCUCCACCCGAGACUCAGUGAAAUUGAACUCGCUGUGAAGAUGCAGUGUACCCGCGGCAAGACGGAAAGACCCCGUGAACCUUUACUAUAGCUUGACACUGAACAUUGAGCCUUGAUGUGUAGGAUAGGUGGGAGGCUUUGAAGUGUGGACGCCAGUCUGCAUGGAGCCGACCUUGAAAUACCACCCUUUAAUGUUUGAUGUUCUAACGUUGACC
rnacentral:rRNA from 1 species